GUUCUGCAGCAACAGGUGACUAAGGAGUGAUUGCAAACCUCUGUCACUUAACGCCAGAUCACUUGCCGUCAACCUUCGCUAUUAUACAGCAGUUGUGAUGUAUCUUGUACAGGUUGCCGUAAUUACCAGUGUGGCUAUCACACUUAAAGCUGCUACUCUUCAAGACCUCCGGGACGCAUUAAAUACAAAUAAUCAGAAACUAUGGACCCGUUAUCGUUCUUUCGAAACCAGCACUAAGAGGUCAAAACAUACGUGCAUAUAUGCUGAAGUACGAAGAGCAGGACAGGAUCAAUACCUGUAUUUGAAGCAUUACGAAGUAGCAGGUACUUGGUGA